CCGAUCAAAACCCAUCGCUUCAAGCUGAGUAUCAGUGUAGAAGGAAACAAGAGAUGAAGAGAGAGAGAAUGAAGCAAAAUGAAAUGGCCAUCAAUAAUCAUCAUUAUGAAUACAAGCAUACAAGGAAAAGAAUAUAUGAUGAUAAUAGUAGCAAUAAGAUUGUCAUCAAUAACCAUCUUGCAACUUGCUUUAUGAUGCAAGAAUCUCAAAUGAGCAAUUAAUUUAACACAAGUAAAACCACUAUAAAAUUAAUCCACCUCUAGACCACAACCUCACAUCCAAAACAAUCCCCAGUAAUUAAAAGAAAACAUAAUUGAAGUACAAGCAGCCAAGAAGUAAUAUGAUCUUCCCCCAAGUAGUUUAUUUUAAAGAUGAUUUACGAGCCCCAAAGAAUUGACUUUAGGAAGGGA
rnacentral:misc_RNA from 1 species